UACGAAGGGGGCUAGCGUUGCUCGGAAUCACUGGGCGUAAAGCGCACGUAGGCGGAUUGCUAAGUCAGGGGUGAAAUCCUGGAGCUCAACUCCAGAACUGCCCUUGAUACUGGCGGUCUCGAGUCCGGGAGAGGUGAGUGGAACUGCGAGUGUAGAGGUGAAAUUCGUAGAUAUUCGCAAGAACACCAGUGGCGAAGGCGGCUCACUGGCCCGGUACUGACGCUGAGGUGCGAAAGCG
rnacentral:rRNA from 1 species